UUUAAACUCCAUCACUUUUUAUCGAUCUUAAUAAACAUGGGGAAGACCGGUGUUGGAAUUUUAAUUUUUUUAGCUUUAUAUUUUGUGACUGCAUCUGGUGGAAUAAUGGAAUUUAUACCAUGUGGAUUAUGGUCGUGCGACGUGGAUUUAGACUGUUGGGACCCACAUUGUGGGCUUAAGUGCAUUAACGUCACUAGUCCAACCACAGGGAUUGUAAUCCAGCUAUGUGCAAAUCCUCCGCAUAAUUAGAGGCGUUCGAUUUGUAAGAUUGUAUUCCGAAUUAAAUUUAUGAUGUGUCUGGUUCA